CCGAACCGUCAACAAGAGUUGUUGCUGGUCCCCAUGCAGGGGGCAUGUGCACGCUCUGUUUACACAUCCACUCACACCUGUGCACCCUCUGUAGUUCUGUGGCUUGGGGGCUCUGUCCUCUUGCUGUGGUUCUAUGUCUUUACACACACACUGUAACAAAGUCUCAUGGAAUGUAUGUCGCGUUUAACGCAAUGAAAUA
rnacentral:misc_RNA from 1 species